rnacentral:rRNA from 1 species
CCUACGGGUGGCUGCAGUGGGGAAUAUUGGACAAUGGGCGAAAGCCUGAUCCAGCCAUGCCGCGUGUGUGAAGAAGGCCUUCGGGUUGUAAAGCACUUUCAGUGGGGAAGAAAGCCUUGGGGCUAAUACCCUCGAGGAAGGACAUCACCCACAGAAGAAGCACCGGCUAACUCCGUGCCAGCAGCCGCGGUAAUACGGAGGGUGCGAGCGUUAAUCGGAAUUACUGGGCGUAAAGCGCGCGUAGGCGGUCUGAUAAGCCGGUUGUGAAAGCCCCGGGCUCAACCUGGGAACGGCAUCCGGAACUGUCAGGCUAGAGUGCAGGAGAGGAAGGUAGAAUUCCCGGUGUAGCGGUGAAAUGCGUAGAGAUCGGGAGGAAUACCAGUGGCGAAGGCGGCCUUCUGGACUGACACUGACGCUGAGGUGCGAAAGCGUGGGUAGCAAACAGGAUUAGAUACCCUAGUGUC